UGCGUGGUUGGUNNNNNNNNNCCAGCGCCACCAUUCAAAUGCUGAGCUGAGGCGGCGUANGCCCCUUAUCGUCAGCAGCCAUCGCCUUCUCGGGCGAUGGUCCACAGAUCACACAAUGGUGACCCCUUUCGGGGCCAAUGAGAUAUGAUCGGCCGUUCCCUCCCUAGGGCGCGACGUGCGGAACCUGCGGAAGGAUCAUUAUCGAGAGACGGAGGUCUAACCGGCCCCACUCUUCACCCGUGCUUACCUUACCAUGUUGCUUUGGCGGGCCCUCGGGCUUUCCGACGCCUGGAGGGGCUUCCUCCGUGGCGAGCGCCCGUCAAAGGCCUUUAAACUCCGAUAUCCAAUUGUCCGAGCAACCUUUAAUAGUUAAAACUUUCAACAACGGAUCUCUUGGUUCUGGCAUCGAUGAAGAACGCAGCGAAAUGCGAUAAGUAAUGUGAAUUGCAGAAUUCAGUGAAUCAUCGAAUCUUUGAACGCACAUUGCGCCCUCUGGUAUUCCGGGGGGCAUGCCUGUUCGAGCGUCAUUAACACCCUCAAGCUUUGCUUGGUAUUGGGCCGCGUCCGAAUGUGGCACGCCCGAAAUGCAGUGGCGGUCCCGCGAGACUUCAAGCGUAGCAAGAUUUACAAUCCCGCUUCGAAUCCUCGCUGGCCCGACCAGACAAGCCGAAGUGUGACCCACUUCCACAAUCGACCUCGGAUCAGGUAGGGAUACCCGCUGAACUUAAGCAUAUCAAUAAGCGGAGGAAAAGAAACCAACAGGGAUUGCCUCAGUAACGGCGAGUGAAGCGGCAACAGCUCAAAUUUGAAAUCUGGCUCCUUCGGGGUCCGAGUUGUAAUUUGUAGAGGGUGUUUCGGGCGAGGCGCCGGCCUAAGUUCCUUGGAACAGGGCGUCAUAGAGGGUGAGAAUCCCGUAUGCGGCCGGCGACCGACCCCAUGUGAAACCCCUUCGACGAGUCGGGUUGUUUGGGAAUGCAGCUCUAAAUGGGUGGUAAAUUUCAUCUAAAGCUAAAUACCGGCCAGAGACCGAUAGCGCACAAGUAGAGUGAUCGAAAGAUGAAAAGCACUUUGGAAAGAGAGUUAAAAAGUACGUGAAAUUGUUGAAAGGGAAGCGCUUGCCACCAGACCUGUCCCCGGGUGAUCAGCCGCCGUUCUCGGUGGUGUACUCGCUCGGCGCAGGCCAGCAUCGAUUCGGGCGGUCGGAUAAAGGCCUUGGGAACGUGGCUCCCUUCGGGGAGUGUUAUAGCCCUUGGUGCAAUGCGGCCAGCCUGGAUCGAGGACCGCGCUUCGGCUAGGAUGCUGGCGUAAUGGUUGUAAGCGGCCCGUCUUGAAACACGGACCAAGGAGUCGAUCAUCUAUGCGAGUGUUUGGGUGUCAAACCCAUGCGCGGAAUGAAAGUGAACGGAGGUGAGAACUCUUUAGAGCGCAUCAUCGACCGAUCCAGAUGUCUUCGGAUGGAUU
rnacentral:rRNA from 1 species